CGCCGCACCCUGAGCUGCUGUGGCGUUACCGAAACGCGGUCUGACUGCCACAGCCACCUCGAGGCGCGGCACGGGCUUCCCCAGCCCACCUCAGCUCAGCAGUCCGUUGAGACCCUGACAAAAGAGGCUGUAGAGAGAUGGAGAUGCGAGAUAAACCCAUCGGGCAAUCUCAUUACGUGGCAACGAGCGAAGAGCCCUCCUCGCAAUCGACUCGAGAUAACGAGGCUGCCUGGAGGAACGAGCGAAGCCCGGAUAUUUACUUCUUUUCCUAUUAAAUAAACC
rnacentral:lncRNA from 1 species